rnacentral:rRNA from 1 species
AUUGAACGCUGGCGGCAGGCUUAACACAUGCAAGUCGAGCGGGCGGCGGGCGGGUGAGUAAUGUCUGGGAAACUGCCUGAUGGAGGGGGAUAGGUACUGGAAACGGUAGCUAAUACCGCAUACCAUCAGAUGUGCCCAGAUGGGAUUAGGUAGGGGGAGGGGUAAUGGCUCACCUAGGCGACGAUCCCGAACUGGUCUGAGAUGAUGACCAAGCACACUGGAACUGGGACACGGUCCAAGAUCCUUCGGGGGGCAUGAGGUGGGAAUAUUGCGCAAUGGGCGCAAGCCUGAUGCAGCCAGUCCGGGGUGGUGAAGGAGGCUUUCGGGUUGUAAAGCACUUUCAGCGAGGAAGCGUUACUCGCAGAAAAAGCCCCGGCUAACUCCGUUCCAGCAGGCGGGGGAAUUC